AUUAAUUAAAGCAAGAGUCAAUGAGUCAUUUACAUGUGGCAAGAUUCUUCCUUAUCUUUUGUAACUAACUCACAUGCUCUCUCUUAAAAAAUGCACAUGCCCAUACACACUCUUUUUCUUAGCCACCAAUCAAUUCAUAUACCUACACCUAUAUAUUUUUCACUCGCCCAACACACAAAGGGGAGGACACCUGAGACGGAAAAAACAGAGAGGAGGAUAGGGUCUGAAGAGAGAAAACGGAUUUGGGGGAACUAGCACCCGAUAGACCAAAAGAGCUAAUAGAAAACGGAGAAGCAAAAACUCGGGUCUUCUUCUUUGCAAGAGGAAUGCGUCAGAAGCUAACUAAAAUCCCAUCCCAAGCUCCAUCAAAAUCAGCUUCUUUUACCUUUUAAACUACCCAAAACCAACCAUUUUUUUUCCGUCCAUUUUUCACUCCCAAUCAGUCCCAAACUCCAUUAGAAACCUCACUUUCAAACACCCUUUAAACCCAAUUUCCAAACAUCAUAUAAGUCACAAAAGUCACUAAUUUCCCGUCCAAAAAUACGUCGGAGUCGAGCUAAGGAAUUCGCGGAGUUAUGAGAUUUUCAGCGAAGUUUCCUUUAGAAAGGUCCGUUGAAGUUUUCGAUCUGGUUUUGGUCAAAGUUUUCAACUUUCUCGGUUCGAGCUCAUUCGCCGUUGAUUUUAGAUGCUGUAAAUUUUAAUCAAUAGAAAGAAUUUUAUUUUGCUCAAAGGUUUAUUUUCUUCACCUUAUGCUAUGAAUUUCUAUUUCUUAAUUAUUGUUGUUGUUUCUCAUUAGUUAGACAUUUUCCUUUUGUGAUUUGUUAAAAUAUUAUUUUUUCCUAGUUAUUCUCCUUUAAUUGCUUUGUUUAUUCUUUUGAUUUACUUAGUUUAUUUGAAGCUAGACUAACAAAUGCUUGAAACUGUGAGUUGUUCACUUACACGCUAAAUGUGAGCAUGAUAUUUCGAUAGCUUAAUAAUUCUCUUUUCUAACCCAUUUGAUGUUAUCUUGUCUGAUCAGUUGUAUUGAUACGACUAUUGUGUUAUUCUGAGAUUGGAGAGAGAAUAAGAAUGAGGGAUUUUCAUUUAGUUUAGAAGUAGGAUGAGCCACACUCUUUUAAGAUAUUCUGUUAGGUCUUGGAUAAAUUAGACAAGGAUUUGGGCUUAAGUCACUUUGGUUGGUUAACGUUUUAUGGGCUUCUAGACUUGAACGUAUUAAUCAAAACUAUUCCCUUUCCUUCGUAACAAAUAGUUUCGAAUAGCUAAACCAUAAUGGGGCCUCCAACUCAUUCAAUGUCCAUAAUCCGUGACCUUACAAUAAUUUUAAAUUAGCUUUAGGAAAAUAACUUAUAAAUAUUCGUAGCUUGCUUUAGGCGUGAAUAAUAGAUCAUCGUGACUAUGAGUACGGUUCUCGCGGCAUGGCCAUAAUAUAUAAUCCCCAAUUCGAGUGUGUGUUUCACGUGACUCGACUACAAUUUCGAAUAAUAAUAAAAAUAAGCAUGUCGUAAAUCGCGGGUGCAUUUCAUGUGGCGCGGUUUGCGACGUGUGCCAAAACGACAAGUGUACGAUAUCGUGACUUGUUUCAGAAAUAAUUUCAUAAAUAAUUAAAAGCGGUAUAGAAGCAUUAACACAUAAAUAGUUCUAAAACAUGUAAUAAAUCAGAUAAUUAGGCCAAGAAUUAAUUGUUAAGCGACCGUGCGAAAAUCACGAAACUCGGGAGUGCCUCACACCUUCUCCCGGGUUAACAGAAUUCCUUACCCGGUCUUCUGUGUUCGCGGACCAUAAAUAAGAGUCAAAUUUUCUCGAUUUGGGAUUUAAAACAAAACCGGUGACUUGGGACACCAUAAAUCAUUCCAAGUGGCGACUCUGAUUAAAUAAAUAAUCUCAUUUCGAUUUAUGUCACUUUAAUUAGAAAAACUUCCUAUUCCCCCCGGGAAAAAGGAGGUGUGAUACUACACUGUGAUAAAUAAAAUUAGGUGUAUCCCCUAGGAUUCAACAAGCUUUUCUAGUAUAACUAAGAGCAGAAACAACAAAGAUUAAUAAAAUAAACUCAGCACAAUCGAAGAAAACAAGAAGGAAAAUUUUUUACAUUUUUUUUCACAUCUUUUAAGAUGUAAAACCAAAGAAGUAAAAAUAGUGCAAAAGAAAUGCACAAGCUGAUAUGAAAACUGUCCAAGCCAUAAAGGCUUUUCAAAGCUUCCACAGCCGUUAAAAUCCAAGCAUACAAAAACGUUAAAAUCCAAAUCCAUUAAGUCUAUCAAUUGGUCAAUUAUUCUUUCAACAGCAACGUUCAAAUUACCCCCUAAUGAGCAUUCAAUAAUCAGAUUUAUUUUGUCCAAAUUGAAUUCAAAAUUAAACUAAUUUUCUGUUACAAAUAUAUUUAUGAUAAUUACUAUAAUAAUGACUCAUUAAUAUAAUUGUAAGAAAAUGAAUCUAGACAUAGUUUUGGAAUAUUUCUUUUUGAGAUAUCAAAAGUAUUUUUCUAACAUUAGCUAAUCUCUAAAUAACAUCCAUGAGAAUGACUAUCUGCGCACUUGCCCCUUGUAUCAACUAAUAUGUUAUGUAAACAUCUAUUGAAUAUAUAUACAACGGGACGGACCCUGCAUCAUAAAACUGUCAAUUCAUUUAUCACAAAUAUCAAAAAGCGUUUUCUUCUUCACCACAAUGUUCAUUUUUCCAAUAUCCUUUGAAAAAUUAUUUAUAUCUAUCUAACGUUGCGAAUAAAUGUGCCCGCGCCAUUAACCUUUUGGUCUACAAUGGCCCUAUCCUAACGCGGCAAAGGUUUCAAUGCAAAGUAUUGGGGCAAAUUUGUAUGUUAUGCAAAGUAGAUGGAUAAAUUGGAUAAAUUUGGACCUUUUCCUUUCCAAAAAAAGUUCUAAGUUAUUUAAAAGGUUUUAACUGUAAUUUUGGACACCUGAAGCCAACGAUUCUAAAAUUCUGUUAGAAGUAAAUCCAAGAUGCAACCAAAAUUUGUUGGGUAGAUUGAUUAUAAUUAAAUUUGUUGGGUAGAUUGAUUGUAAUUAGGGCGGCAAACAGGCGGAUCGCAUUGGAUAUGAACGGGUAGAAAACGGGUGAUACAAAAAACGAGUAAAUUAUCCGAUCCGACUCAUAUUUAACAGAUAGUAAAUGGGUUAACCGACGGAUAAUAUGGAUAUCUAUAUUAUGGAUAUCCUUCUUGAAUAUGAUCACUUUUGGGAGAAUUCUUAGUCUCUCAAAUCCUAAUUGAGGAACCCCGAAUUUGAGUCUUUACAAAUGUAAAAGUUAAAACUCAUUGGUCAUCCAUCUUCUAAGUAGAUAAUAUGGUUCUUAUGCAUGUAUUUGAUCUGUUUUUAAAAAGUUCAUCAUUCAACCCAUUUUCUAGUGAUUAAUAUGGAUUGAUAACUAUUUUUGUAAUCCUUUUUGCCACCACUAAUUGUAGCAAAUUCUAUUUAUUCUUUGCCGCUUUGGGGUAUGGGGCUUACUUCCUAGCCUUAUUGGGAGUAGUGACUAGCGUUAUAGGUCGUUGGGCUUCUGACAUCGACUCAUCUUGCUUGGAAGUCUUAAGAAUGCAGCAAAAACUAAGGUUUCCUCUAGAGUCAAUCGUGAAAAAAGCACGUCAUCUUAUGUCACGAAACCGACCUAACACAACAUAGCCUAAUUAAAUAACUCAACCAGUUUUAACCCAAUACAAUUUCAAAAAGAACCAUUCAUUUGACAUUGAUUGUAACUAAUUAAAUAAGUCAACCAAAUUUAACCCAAUUAAAUUUCAAAAAGAAUCAUUCAUUUGACAAUCUUGUUUGAAUGUACCAGAAUUACUAUAAAACGCACUGUUAAAAAAUGAUAAAAUUUCUCAUCGGAAGUAAAAUUGACCAAAAAAAAGGAGGAACUUUCACACUAAGAUUGCUACAAAUAAUAAUUUCCCAUAUUCUUCAUAUUAAAUUAUUGAUUUGGUAAGUAAAUCCUCCUCUAGUUGUAUAUAUUGGUUAAAAUUUAAAAUAGCAGCAUGAUCUGACUUUGACUUUAAUCCACAAAAUUCCUACUAUUAUAAAUUCUCUCUAUUACUGCAAUCUCUCGAAUUCUACUAUAAAAGAUAGGUAAAGUGACUACUUUAUUCACUAAAUUAUACAAUGAAAAACUUUGGCCUAUCUUUUCGCUGUUCCAUUUUCCUCAUAGCUUACAUUUGUGGUAUGUUUCUCUUUCAUUUUUCCUUGUCGUGAUUAAAAAAAUAAAAAUAAAAAGUAAGAACAUGAAUAGUCACACUCCCUCUAUGCAUUCCCAAAAUGAAUAUCCGUUCUUUAUAAUUUACCAUAUUACGUACGGAUUUGAACGAACCUAGUAGUUCUUGAUUAAAUUAUGUAAUUAUAAUAGAAAAUUUGUCAAAUAUGUAUAAGUAUUUAAUUACGAACUCUGUUACUAAAACGAGCUAUAGGUUCGGUAGCAAAUACAGAAUUCAUAAACUUCAAAUUCAGACGUCAUUUCUAUCGAUUAAGUGAGAUGAUAAUAGUAAUAAAUCAGGGUUCAAAUACCCAACAACGAUUAGAAAAAAAAAGUCAAGUGAUUUUUUCGCAUCUCUCUCUAGAUAUAUAUAAAAGGGCAGUCGGGUGCACAAAGCAUUUCGUGUCCACGCAGGGUCCACGGAAGGGCCUCACCUCAAGGGUGUGAUGGAUACAGCGUACCCUAAUGCAAACAUUAGUGACUAUUUUCACGGCUCGAACCCGUAGUCUAUAGAUCUCUCUAGAUAUAUAUACAUCAUUGAAAAUAACUUUUACAUAUGAAUUACAAGAUACUGGUUUCAUACUACUCAUAUAUAUAUUAUUUGAUUUUACAGCCAUGUUCGAAAUGACUCAGAUUUUCUCAGCAAAUGCUCAGUAUGUAUGUGCAUCACAUGGUAAAACAAAUCUUCCUUGUUCUGAAGAAUUGCCAAUUUGCCAAAACCUUUGCCAGAGAGAUUAUGGACCCUUUUAUGUUAAUUCAGUGUGUAUUGAUCAAGAUCAAGGAGGAAGUUUUUGUGUAUGCUACUUCAAUAGUGGUGGCCCAUGUUCAAAGUUAAAUAUUCAUUAAAACUUAUAUACUUUUUAAUUUUUCAUUCUCCAAAAAAAAAAAAAAAACAUGCAAAGAAACAAAAAAAAAUCUAUAUAUAAGAUUGAUGUAUCCACCCAAACUUGAAUGAAAAAGAGAUCUUUUGAUCUAAUUUAUAGAUAUGUCUUGUAUAUUCUUCAUUAGUGGCGGAUCUAGAAUUUUUAUUAAGGGGGCAAAAUAGUGACGGAGCUAUUUUUAAUUAAGGGGUGUCAACACACCCCCAAAAAAACUAUAAUGUAUUUCCAGGUAAAACAAAUUAUUUUUUGCAUAUAUACUAUAUGUUUAACUCCCGUUAGUUUUUUCGAUGUUUAAUUUUUUAUAUAUUGACACCUUUUCGUGGAAAUUCUAACUCGCCACUGGGUCAAAAUAUAAUGUGAUGAUCUGAUAGGUCAUUUAUAGUUUCAACCUUCAUUUCUGUGCUCCGAGACCUCGAUUAGCUCUGUUUUAGCAUGUCUUGAUUUGCAUGCGCAGUCCGUGUCUUAUUCCAAAAAAUAUUUAUGCGAAAAAUCUAAGAAAAUGUGAAUUUUGUCUUUAAAAUGACUAGAGUUGACUAUGGUCAAUAUUUUGUGUAAACGAACCCGGGUCAUUAUUUUUAUGGUCCUGGUGGGUCCGUAUCGUGAUUUGGGACUUGGGCGAAUGCCCAGAAUUGAAUUCGAAAGUCCCUAUCUUGUUUUGACACAGUUUGCCGAAAACUAGCAUUUUUGGAAGUUGAAGAAUUUCAAGGUAUGACUGAAAGUUGACUUCUUAGCUAACGGGUUCGGAUUUUGAUGUUAAAACUUGGAAUAGUUCUGUAUUGCUAUUUGAAAUUUGUCUGCAAAUUUUGAUCCAAUUCAAAAUUGAUUUGACAUGAUUCGGACACUUAAACAUGAUUCUACUCUUCUUGAGUUUCACUUUGAAAGUUCAUUCGUUUUGAGGAUUGAUUCGUAGAUUUAGAUGUUAUUUUGGUGAUUUGAUCACGCGAUCAAGUUCGUAUGAUGUUAUUACACUUGUGUGCAUGUUUGUUUGGAGCCUGAGAGGAUCGAAUGAGUUUCGGAUAGGCUACAGUGUGAUUUUGGAAUCAGGAGAAUAGUUGAUGCCUUCACUGUUGUCGGUGCUCUGUAGCUGGUCUCGCAUUUGCGAACAAGGCUUCACAUUUGUGAGCAUGGGCUUGAUUGGGAGAGUCUCGCAUUUGCGAGGUGAAUGCUCGUAUUUGCGAACUUGCAACUGUCGCUUUUGCGAAGGCAUAGUCAUUUUUUGCAACUCAGCGUGUUCCUGGGCAAACUUCGCAUAUGCGAAGGGAUGGUCCACAUUUGCGAGGGAUAUGGGUUCGCAUUUGCGGCCUCUUUCUCGUAAUUGCGAUGUUGGUAAUUGCGAACAAGAUAUCGCAAUUACGACGUCCACAUCUGGGUAAAAGAGGGGGAAAACGGGAUUUAGCUCAUUUCUCACAAACUCUCGGCCCUAAAUACCCUAGAGGCAAUUUUCUAAGAGGAUUUUCUUCCCAAAAAUAUUAGUAAGCAAUUUUAAUCCAUUUCUUUUCAAAACAUUAAAUCUAUGAUUCUCAUAGUAGAAAUUAGGGAUUUGGGUAGAAAUUGGGUUUUUUGUAAAAUUGAGAUUUAGACCUCAAAUUGAGGUUGGAUUUCGAAACUAAUGACAUAAUCUCGAGAGUGAAUGGGUAUUUUGGUUUUGAUCUGAAUCUCUGAUUUUGACCAAGAGAGCCCAGGGAUGACUUUUGUUGACUAUUUGGGAAAAGUGUAAAGAAUUUAGCUUUAUGUAUUGCAAUUGAUUUCCCUGAUUGUUUGAUAAUAUCAAGUCGCUUUUUAUUAGAUUCGAUUGGUUUGGAGGCGGAUUUUAGAGGAAAAGCCCGGUUUAGCUUUGAUUUGCUUGUAGAGCGAGGUACGUAUUGGGUCUAACCUUGAUUUGAGAGAAUUAGGAAUUCUUGAGCUAUAUGUUAUAUGAAUUACGUGUGUAACGGCGUAUAUGCGAGGUGAUGAGUGUAUAUACGCCGUCAAAAUAAUUGUUUUCAUGCUUUCCCGUAUUUCAUUUAUUAUCUUACUCCAUGUCUUAACAGUUACAUGCUUGAAUUGAUUUCUAUGCCGUAACUUGUUACUUGUCAUUAAAUACUCGUGUGCAGUGGCGAAACUACGAAUUUUUUCAAGGGUAUUCAAAUUUGAAAGAAGUGAAAAAAAAUUCCCGAUGAAGGGUGUUCAAUAAGUGUUAUAUACCUCUAAAACGUAAUAUUUUACCUAUAUACACAGUAUAAUUUUUCAAUGAACUGACCACCCUUGUGACCAUGUGGCUUCCCCACUGCUCUUGUAUUGAAAUAUUCGUUUCUUCCAUGAUUCCAUGAUUAAUUGCUACUUACCUUAUUUGUCUUACUUGUACACUUUAACCGUCAUAUAUUUGGCUUGUCUUGUUACUUUGUAUUAAUUGUAGUAUUCCUUGAUUUGGUACGUGGUUCCUUUAUUGCUUUGCUUCAUAUUCUUUAAUCGUAGAGAUUCUUGUGAAUUGAGUUGUUGGAUUGAUUAGAUUUAUUGGAUUUGUUUAUGGAUCAGGCUGCACGCCGCAACGGUUGUGAUGUGAUAAAAUAAGGGAGGAUUUGAUAUUGAUAUGG
rnacentral:lncRNA from 1 species